rnacentral:rRNA from 1 species
AUUGAACGCUGGCGGCAGGCCUAACACAUGCAAGUCGAGCGAGCGGCGGACGGGUGAGUAAUGUCUGGGAAACUGCCUGAUGGAGGGGGAUAACUACUGGAAACGGUAGCUAAUACCGCAUACCAUCAGAUGUGCCGAGAUGGGAUUAGCUAGGAGGUGGGGUAAUGGCUCACCUAGGCGACGAUCCCUAGCUGGUCGGAGAGGAUGACCCGCCACCUUGGAACGGAGACACGGUCCAUACUCCUACGGGAGGCAGCAGUGGGGAAUAUUGCGCAAUGGGCGCAAGCCUGAUGCAGCCAUGCCGCGUGUGUGAAGAAGGCCUUCGGGUUGUAAAGCACUUUCAGCGGGGGGGCGUUACACGCAGAAGAAGCACCGGCUAACUCCGUGCCAGCCGCCGCGGUAAUUC